CCCUCUCACACAGCGGGACUGGAGGAAGUUUUGCUGGGUCCAGCAUGUUGGCUCAUGCCUGAAAUUCUAGCACUCGGGAGGCGGAGGCAGGAGUAUGGCCAUGAAUUCAAGAGCUGUGUUGGGGAGCCCCCCAGUUUUUCCUCUUCGGUUGCUAUGACACCCACCUACUCCAUCGAUGUAGGUAGACCUACCAAGUAUUCCUUUCGAAGGCUGAAGUGAAGACCCUGGUGUGAAGUCUCCACCUAUCUGCAGUUACUGGAAGCACAAAUCCUGAUGGAUGAGCCAUUUUAACCCACAUCACCAAACGAUGGGAAAAAUUCUUUAAGAAUGGACAAGUGCCUGUGUUAGGUCACAGUUUCUUAAUCCUUCUGGCAAUUACAACGCCCCAGGAGGCCUAACAGUUUGCAGUGCCUAGGUUGGGACCCUAGACUUGUAAGAAGCACCUUUCCUGCUGACACCACCCAUCAGUGUGUAAGUUAAUUUUCCCGAAGGGUGACAAACACACACAAUGUGCACAUGUCUCUAACAAGCCCACAUCUGAGUGUAGCCUCAACAGAUCUGAAAGCAGAGUCUUGAAAAUAUCUGUACACCCAUGCUCACAACAGUCACAGUAGCUGAAAACACCAUGCAUCCAUCAGUGUAGAUACAAAUGAACGGAAUGUGGUGUAGACACAAAGAUCAGCACUCAACUUCACAAAGCGAAUUGCAAUGCGUACUAAAACAGGCAAAGCAUCAUGUUAAGGAAAGUAAGCAGUGGUAAGGAGACAGUUAGAGCAAGCUUCCAUUUCUAAGAGAAACCUAGUCCGAUUCAGAGACGGAAAGAGCAAGAGCUGGGGAUAGGUGGGGCUGAUUAAUUCAUAAAGUGUCGGCUUUGCAUAAUAGCUUAAGCUCAUUCUCUAUUCCUAAACCCCAACACUUAGAAUGGUGUGUUAAUUUGUUUGUUUGUUUGUUUGGUCGCUUGCUUGCUUAAGACAGACUCUUACUAUGUAGCCCUGACUGGCCUACCUAGUAGAUACAACUGUGUAUACCAGGUUGGCUUCAAAAUCACAGAAAUCCACCUGCCUCUACUCCUAAAUGAUGGGAUUAAAGGCAUGCACCACCACACCCACUCAGGAUGGUGCAUUAUUUAAAAGCAUAUAUGGGGCUGGAGAGCUGGCUCAGCAGUUAAGAUUUCUAGUUGUGCUUGCAAAAGACAUGGCUUGUUUCCCAGCAUCCUCUGGGCAGCUUAGAACCAUCUGGAUCUCCAAUUUCAAGGUAUCUGACGCCCUAUUCUGGCCUCUGUAGAAAACAGGCAUGCACAUGGUACACAAACAAGCAUAACCCCCCCCCCCACUCAUACAUGUAAAGUAAGAAUAAAGCUUUUUAAAAAGGCAGACAUGGGGUCUAGCAAACAAAGAAGUAGAUGCUCAUAGUCAGCUAUUGGAUGGAUCACAGGGCCCCCAAUGGAAGAGCUAGAGAAAGUACCCAAG
rnacentral:lncRNA from 1 species